AUUCGGUUGCCUUUCCUGAGGAGAGGUGGCAGGUGCUCAGCUCUGCAGGUGUCGGGGCAAGGAAGGACCAAGCGACCUGAGAAGAGCAGAGGUGCCCCAUGGGGACCACGCUGACUUGUCGCAUGUGCACCAAGGCCAGCCCCACUCAGGGCCCUCACAGGGCUUCUGCAGAGCCGUCCUGAGGCUCUGACAUCUAUGAGUCGGCGGCCAGCAGAGGCGCAGACCCCAGCACAGAGGAGCAGAGGCACCCGGAACAAGCUGUCCCUUAAUGCCACCCCAAGCGGGGCCAGCUCAGGAUGCGGUGUUUGGAGCAGUCCUGCAGCUCUGCGAUCCACGAGGUGGUGGUGGGAGUAGCGCCAGAGUCCACUGCUUUGGAGCCUGCCCCGUCUGAUUCAGGAGUCAUGACGACCAGAAGACGCCAAAAGGUAGGGAGACUACAGAUACCGCUUGGCCUUAGGAGCUCCUUUGGCAGUUGCUCACCCAUGGUUCCCCCCAGAGGCACCCACAGCCUAGGGCUCCUCCCUCCUGCCUCUAGUUUGCUUUCCUAGGCCCAGGCCCCAAGCAGGAGGACUUGCUCUGAUUCCACUCCCCAUCCAUUGUUCUUUCCCUGUUGCAUCCAGCUGGUUACUUUCCCUUGCCCUGUCCAAAUGCCCACUUCUGGGCCCUCUUCUUCUUUUCUUAGGCUGGUCAAAACUAAGACUUCAGAUUACAAAAUGUAUGCUACAGAUUUCAUUACGGUAGAGGAAAUAUGCGACAGCUCUUGUAUUUAAACUUAAGUAGCCACAUUGGGACUCCCAAUUUCAUAUUUUUCGUUGUAGAGCAGAGCUCUCUCUCCUAAAGUAAUGGCUGAGGGUUAGAGGUACUCUUCUUGAUUCUAAUAAUAAAAAAUGAUUUCUCAUAGAGACAGGGUCUCACUGUGUUGCCCAGGCUGGUCUCAAACCCCUGGCCUCAAGUGAUUCACUCACGUUGGCCUCCCGCUUUGUUGGGAUGACAGGCAAGAACCACCACACCUGGCCUUGGGAGCUGCUCCUGCUUUGUGUGUUUUGCCUGGUCUUCCUGCACAGCUGUCAGUAAGAUGCUCCUGCAGCAUAGUUCCAAAUCUUUCUGCACAAAUUUAGUGGAUGAUGUGAUUUUUUACAUGGAAUAGCCCCUUUAUUUAUUGCAGAGAAGCUGGACAAUUCACACUUAGUAACAUAUGGCCUAGCAAAUUUCAUUUCGUGAUCACCACACCUGUUAAAAGGUGAUGCUUGUGGUCUAAAUAUGCAGAUUCCUCAUCAUCCUCAAGGAAAAGGGAACCACUGCAAGAAAACCUGGGAGGGAGUUUAGGAUUGUCCUGAGGCAGUGCAAGCCACUGAAAUUCACACACAAGGGGUUAGAAAAGAGAAUCCACAUGUUCUCAUCUCUCCAUGUUCUGGGUAUAAUUUGGUCCUCCUUAAAUUGCACCAUUUUUGGCGUUAGAGAAAACUGGAUUUGAAUACCACUUCCAUCACUCUUUAUGAUGUGAUGGUGAAUGUGUUUUUAACUCAUCUGAGCCUCAGUUUGCUCAUCUAUAGAAGAUGUGAUUGUUGUAAGGCUUCCAUAAGGUAAGUGUGUAAAAACCAUGGCAAAAUGCUUGUAAUUUAAAAGAGAGGGUUAUUAUGAGGCUUCUAUAAGGUAAGUGUGUAAAAGUCUGGACAAAAUGUCUACUAUUUUGUAAGUGUUCAAUAUGUGGAUAAAGUGGAUUAUCUUUCUCUCCUUUUUAGACCACAAAUUUUUAGACCAAGUUUAUAAAAUUAGGGAUACUCCUAUUUCUUAGACAAUCAAACCAAUGAUCAGAAAGACUAGAUAAAUCACCAUAGUCACAAAGCAGUUCACAAUGCAUUUACUGGGUAAUUUCUAGUUAACAGUAGCAAUGAUGAUCACAUUGAAAAUCUUGUAUUUUGUGGUGGUUUUCUGUUACGUAAGCCUCUUGCUUUGUUGAAACCAUAGAUUCUAAGCUGCUUUGUCAAAGUGAUCAUUAGAAAAAUGUGAUGUAGUGUGUAAAUGUUAGAAAAUUUCUCCUGUUAGUCUUGCUAAUUUGAUUGAACAUGUGUGUCAUUUUCAAAAAUGUAAAUCAAAUAUAUGUGAAUGGGAUAUAUAUGUAUACAUAUGAAAUAUAACUUGAAUUAGAGAGUAGGCUUAGCUCAUGGCAAUGUUUUUUCUGAAAGCACCUGCAGAAAUCUCUCUUAUUUCUAGUUUGUUGAUGUUUCAGAGAUUAUGGAGAAAUGGCGGUUCUAUGAAUCUCAGACACUGCAUGAGGCAGAUUUGGUUUCAGUAAUUUUAGCAUCAUUCAUUGUAAGGUGAUGAUCCCUAGGAACUUCAUCACAGUGAGAAACCUGAAAGGUCCUAGCAGCCAGCAUGAAUGAAAGGUGGGGCGGGGCUGCUGGCAGGGCAGGGCCUUGUGAGCCAUAUGCCUGUGCUCUCAAGUUCCAGGAUUGUGGGGAUGCAUGCAGGGGAUUCUGGACCUGAUUGUUUCCUCUGAACCAGGAUGUGGUCUGGUUGGCAGGGCAACUGGCCUUCACUUGGUGGCCUUCAGUGGAUGCCCACAUUGGUUGCCUUCGGUUAGUGCACUCAGUUGGUACCCUCAGUUGUUUCUCUUCAGUUGGUGGUCUUCAAUUGUUGGGCAGUGGCAGAAGGAGGAUGAAUCCGUUUGUGCUCUCUCCUCCCCCAGUCACAGCUCUCAGGCUUGUUGCCCCCAGGCCCUCCUGAUUGUUUACUCUGAACCAGGAUGCGGUCUGGUUGGCAGGGCAACUGGCCUUCACUUGGUGGCCUUCAGUGGGUGCCCUCAUUGGUUGCCUUCGGUUAGUGCCCUCAGUUGGUACCCUCAGUUGUUUCUCUUCAGGUGGUGGUCCUCAGUUGGUGGUCUUCAGUUGUUGGGCAGUGGUGGAAGGAGGAUGAAUCUGUGCUCUCUCCUGCCCCAGUCACAGCUCUCAGGCUUGUUGCAUCCAGGCCUUUCUAAAAUAAACUGGACAGGUUGGCAGGAUUUUUUAGCAGACAAGUCAGCUCAGAGUAUGGGGGUGAUAUGGGGUGCAUGCUGCUAGCGCAGUGCCACCCCGUGGCCCAGGACUGCUUGUGCUAGCAAUGCUUUUGCCAGCAAGAGACGAUAGGUGUUGAGCUCUGCACACUUGGGGGCAACCAAAGGCCCAAGCUGCCCAAGAAGAGCAGGAGUGCCCCAUGGGGACCACAUUGAACUGUCGCAUGUGCACCAAAGCCAGCCCCAGUCAGGGCCGGCACAAGGGUUGUGCAGAGCCAGCCUGUGGCUCUGACGUCUAUGAGUGUGCAGACAGCGCAGACGCAGCCCGCAAUAUACAGGAGCAGAGUUGCCCUGAACACGCUGUCCCACAAUGCCAACCACAAAUGGGGCCAGCUAAGGGUGUGGUGGGAGAAGCCAUCCUGCAGCUCUGAGAUCCACAAAGUGGAGAUAGCAGUAGCACCAACUCCACUGCUUUGGAGGCUGCCCAGUCGAAUUUGGGAGCCAGCGAGGGACCUGACAGCAGCACAUUGGACACCAGAAGACACCCAAAGGUAGGGAGGUGGCAGAUACUGCUUAAGUUCAGGAGCUCCUCUGGCCAUUGCUGACCCAAAAUUCCCCCAGAGGCAUCCACAGCCUGGGGCUCCUUCCUCCUGCCUGGAGUUUGCUUUCCUAUGCCCAGGCCCCAAGCAGGAGGACUGGCUCUGCCUCGAGUCCUCACCCCUUCUUCUUUCCCUGCUGUGUCCAGCUGGUUUCUUACUUUCCUCCUACCUACCCCAAUGCUCAGUUCUGUUUCCUCUUCUUCUUCCCCCAGGCUGGCUGAAAACUAAGUUUCAAAAUACAAAAUGCGUGCUACAGAUUUCAUUGCUGUAGACGAAAUAUCUGACAGCUUUUCUAUUUAAACUCUGGUUGUUCUCUUCAUUUCUUUAAACAUUAGAAUAAUUAAGCCUCAUAAUAGAUGUGCCUUUGUAACUUGAAAGUAUGACCCUCAAUUUUCACAAUUAAAAAAAUUUAAUUUUUCUUUUCAUAAAUUUUUGGCACAGGUAGUAUUUAGUUAUUGAGUAACUCCUUUAGUGGAGAUUUGUGAGAUUUUGUUGCACCCAUCACCCAAGCAGUACACAUGGAAUCCAAUUUGUAGUCUCUUAUCUUUCUCCCCCUUCCCGCGGUUUUCCCCUGAGUAUCAUUCUUUUUUUUUGAGACUGAGUCUUAUUCUGUCACCCAGGCUGGAAUGCUACGUCGCGAUGUCAGCUCGCUGCAACCCUUGCUUCCUGAGUUCAUGUGAUCCUCCUGCUUCAGCCUCCUGAGUAGCUGGGAUUAGAGGGAGAGGAGUGGAAGACCUUCUGGUGUGGGCUGGGCAGCAAUUCACUUGAAGGAGAAACAGCCCGGGUGUGGAGAGGCGGCCAUCCUUGGCGGGAUCCUUUCUAAGGAGCCGAGAAAUCAACGUAGAGCUUCCUCUAUCUGAUUCUCUAACAACUGCAGACCUUCCAUGAGUCAAGCUUUGUGUCAAAAGGACAAAUUAAAAGGACCUAUAAAUGGCACCACCCAGCCCAAUGGACAGAUGCCCCAGGCUGCAGAUUCUGUCAGUGCUGUUCUCGAAGAGGCCCAGGCACAUGCUGAAACAUGGAAGGUAAAACCAGCAAGCAGCUGGCAUACAUUCCACCCAGCCGUCCCCCAGGAGAAUUGCUUGAGCUCCGGAGUUCCAGACCAGCCUGGGCAACAGAACAAGGGCUCAUCUCUACUAGAAAUCAAAAAAUUAGCCAGGAUAAGAAGCCAGCCCUCGGGAACCACCAGGAGCCAGGAGCACCCCCGGCCCCCCAAGGCCCCAAGUCCAGCCUGCCCCACCCCCUCCGGUGCAGAGGUCCUGUGACACCAGUGGCAGCCCCGCCACACCCCCCAAGGCCAAGGGCACAGGCAGCGUGGUCUUCCCCGCCCCGCCCGACUACUUCCUGCCGCCACAGCCACCAAUGCCGCCCCUGGAGUACCCAGAGCUCCCGCUGCCGUCCCCGGACUUCAUGGAGACCCCCCUGGACUUCGUGCUCCCUCCCCUCGCUGUCGCCAAGAGGCCUCCUAUGCCCCACCCCCCCAACAGGCACGAAGCAUCAAUGUUCACAAGCAGCAAAUGAAUAAAAGUUAAACGUUCUUCCUACUGCAUUUCUAUAAGGAUUAUUGGGUCAGUCGAUCUUGAGGUCAACACUAUAAUUAAAACUAGCUUUCACCAUCCCAUGCCUUCUUAAGUCUUGGUGACCUUAGAUUUUCAGCUCUACCUCUGCGACCUUCAGAAUUUUCAGGAAAAUAGAGGAAAACGAGAAAACAUGACAAUCUCUUUCUCUGAGAUUCCUGUUGCUUGA
rnacentral:lncRNA from 1 species